rnacentral:rRNA from 1 species
GAUGAACGCUGGCGGUGUGCCUAAUACAUGCAAGUCGAGCGAACAGACGAGGAGCUUACUCCUCUGACGUUAGCGGCGGACGGGUGAGUAACACGUGGAUAACCUACCUAUAAGACUGGGAUAACUUCGGGAAACUGGAGCUAAUACCGGAUAACAUGUUGAACCGCAUGGUUCAACAGUGAAAGACGGUCUUGCUGUCACUUAUAGAUGGAUCCGCGUCGCAUUAGCUAGUUGGUAAGGUAACGGCUUACCAAGGCAACGAUGCGUAGCCGACCUGAGAGGGUGAUCGGCCACACUGGAACUGAGACACGGUCCAGACUCCUACGGGAGGCAGCAGUAGGGAAUCUUCCGCAAUGGGCGAAAGCCUGACGGAGCAACGCCGCGUGAGUGAAGAGGGUCUUCGGAUCGUAAAACUCUGUUAUUAGGGAAGAACAAAUGUGUAAGUAACUAUGCACGUCUUGACGGUACCUAAUCAGAAAGCCACGGCUAACUACGUG